UUGGGAGGAAGCCAAACAUGAAGAAAGUUGCCUUUAUUCUGUGUUAUCAGCAGUGCCGUUGCACCUGGUGCUGAGCUUACCCACAUGAAAGGACGUGGCUGCAUCCCGCGUGAGGUGACGCGAGUGCCAGCUCAUGAGCAUGCUUGGUUGCUCUGAUCCGAAGGAACCACUCUGCUCUGCUUGGAGGCAGUGCUUUCAGGAGGACAACAGGAGUUAUGUGGGCCCUCCUUUCCUGCCUGAAUCCUGUGGAGGAAGAAGCAUUCACGUUCACAUGCUAUUCCUUGUUUCAAGAUUAUUUAAGAAACCACCGCUGUUGAACUAG
rnacentral:lncRNA from 1 species